AGAUAGGGAACAAGAGAAAAAUUUUAGAAUUGGAGUGAUAGUGUCAGCACAAUAUUUUGGUGUCUACAACACCUGCGUUUUGGAAAAUGUGGCCUACCUAAGUUCCAUGACAUUGUGAGUUUUGGAAACUCCCUUUGCUUGAUAUGAGCGGAUUGGAUUGCAAAAUAAACAACGGUGGGCUGCCACGCUCAACGGUGCAUACAUUCCGGAUGCGCUGGUCACGCAUCACAUAAUAAUUCUGCCAGGAGUAGCAGAGUCGAGACUCGCGACGAGUGGAAGGCCGGAAGAGAGAAAGAAGCCAAAUAUAGGCCGAGAAACAAAAGAAAGCGACAAGGUCCUUCUCUUUCCACGUCCUUGUCUGUAUCUUCCCAUCUAAUCUCUUUAGGGUUUCCUGGUUUUUUUAAAAAAAAUUCAAAUCCAAUUGGGGUGAUAUUUGGAGUGCAAACAUUUCGCAGUAGGUCCCGGCAGAUAAACAGUACAGAUCUGGUACAUGUGUGCCGCGGGAAUAGAGUGGUUGAUGAAUUACUCGAUUCAAGCAAUUUCAGACCAGCUCGUUUCCGUUAUCAAUACCCUCGAUUUGCGAUGAAGCGAUGGAAGCGUUUGUAUGCCUGUCUAUAUGAGGACAGAAACUUUGAUACACUGGCAGUGUGAUGGGUGAUACACAUCCUUGGAAAUUACGUAGAA